rnacentral:rRNA from 1 species
CCUACGGGAGGCUGCAGUAGGGAAUAUUGCUCAAUGGGGGAAACCCUGAAGCAGCAACGCCGCGUGGAGGAUGAAGGUCUUCGGAUUGUAAACCCCUGUUGUUAGAGAAGAAAAUGACGGUAUCUAACGAAUAAGCAACGGCUAACACCGUGCCAGCAGCCGCGGGAAUACGGAGGGUGCAAGCGUUACUCGGAAGCACGGGGCGUAAAGGGCGCGUAGGCGGGAUAGCAAGUCAGAUGUGAAAUCCUCGGGCUUAACCAUAGAACUGCCUUUGAAACUGUUAUUCUAGAGUAUGUGAGAGGUAGGUGGAAUUCUUGGUGUAGGGGUGAAAUCCGUAGAGAUCAAGAGGAAUA